rnacentral:rRNA from 1 species
CCUACGGGAGGCAGCAGUAGGGAAUAUUGCUCAAUGGGGGAAACCCUGAAGCAGCAACGCCGCGUGGAGGAUGAAGGUUUUCGGAUUGUAAACUCCUUUUGUUAGGGAAGAUACUGACGGUAUCUAACGAAUAAGCACCGGCUAACUCCGUGCCCGCAGCCGCGUUAAUACGGCGGGUGCCAGCGUUACUCGGAUUCACUGGGCGUAAAGGGAGCGUAGGCGGGAUAGCAAGUCAGAUGUGAAAUCCUAUGGCUUAACCAUAGAACUGCAGUUGAAACUGUUAUUCUAGAGUAUGGGAGAGGUAGGUGGAAUUCUUGGUGUAGGGGUGAAAUCCGUAGAGAUCAAGAGGAAUACUCAGUGCGAAGGCGACCUGCUAGAACAUAACUGACGCUGAUGCGCGAAAGCGUGGGGAGCAAACAGGAUUAGAUACCCGAGUAGUC